GACCCACCUUCACACCCUUUCUGCAGCGCUGUUAAAGCACUGGCCCCGCAGGGUUACGCAUUUUUACAGCUGGUGACACCUCCUCAAGCGCCUUUCCCUUGACUGAAUUACCUAUCCGCGUAUUUCACAGCGUUUCCACAACCUGCCCAGCACCCCUACGCUUCCCUACAAGCGCCUGCAGCUCCUCCUCGCCCUGGCAAAGCUUAUGCCGGCCAUGGAAGCAUGACGGAAAGCUCAGCGCUGGCUCUGCAGCACGGGGUUAAAGCCUCUUGCUGAGCACAGCUCCGUGGGGACGCCCCCACCGCCGGCAGGGGUCCCCGCUGCUCCACGGGCCCGCGGCUGGCACAGGGCUCUCGGCACGGGGGGAGCAGGGGGCCCUGCUGGAGGGAGGGCUUGUUCCGCCCUAAAGGGAAAAAAAAAAUGGGUUUAGGGAGGAUAGCGGGGAAAAGCAGUGAGCUUUUGGAGAUCCGGUGCAUGGGAGAGUUGGUUUCCCACUCCCUGGCUGGGGCCUGCUGCUGGAAUGAUGGACAACCUAAAGGUUGAGAAAAUACAGUAAAAUGCCUUUCUUAUCCUGUAAUGACCAAGGGGGAGGACACGGCCUGAUAAAAAUGACAAGCCAGAAGAAUUGCGAGCCAGACCCUUCACCUGCCUCUUCCUCAGCAGACAGAAAAUGCUUGAUCCACUUGCCGUGAUUGCAACUGCUGCAAGCCCGUAAAGAAAGGAAUUAAGUACUUAGCCGAUUAAAGCUACAAGUUUCUGGCCAAGGAAACGUCCUUCUGCUACCUGUAAGAAGACUGUUUCAGAGACCUGCAGGAGAAGAACCUAAAGCAGGCUGAGCAGCAGGAGCUUCUCCAGCCUGGUGUUUUGUGGCAAGAUAGAGGGCUUUGCACCUGGCCUCUGCCUGGUCCCACUGCGGUGACAGAGGCUCACAUGACGUAUAGCCCCAGCGGCUCGCUUAGGUAUACCUCUGUUUUCAACCAACUAUUUUACUUCUCUGUUUUUGUUGGCGUGAUUUUUGACGGCAACCCCUAGUGCUGGAUCAGCCGUUUCCUGCCAGCGAAUGAGCAGGAAGGUAAACAUUUCAUUUACUGGAGUGCCCCAAAGGUGGUCUGAGCUGCCAUGGAACAAAACAGCGACGGAUUUGUGACAGGGUGUGCUGCUAACAAAGCUCCGUCCACCUCCCCUUUGCACAAAUCAAACCUGAAGAGGCCACAGGGAGUGACUGAUGGGGGAGGGAGCAGGCAUAAGGCUUGGUAUGUUCCUCUGACCACUUGAAGUAAGCAGUACGGGAAGUUAUGGGGAUUUUCUGCUCUCCUUCCUUGCUCCUGAGCCCAGAUGGACACAGAAGGGAGGCUCUGUCUGACCCUUUAGCUCUUGCUCUGUUCGGUGCAGCCUCCCACCACCCUCUUCCCUCCUCCAGACCUGUUCAUCCCAAUGCCUCCCUCAUCUCAGUGUUUAUCAGGUUCUCUGGCUGGCCCUUUCUUCCCAUGCCCACCACUAGGACUUGGGCAACAGAGCCCCAGGCUGUACCACGUAGUUAGCAGGCAUUUGUCAGCUUUGAAAAGAGUGGGAUGGUCGCACAGUAUUUACUCUUCUCCUUGUUUUCAUCUGUUAAAAUCAUGCUAAGAGCAAGUAAAAUGACCUGCAGUGAUUCCUUUUAGCUGCUCAUGCUGUGGCUACCACAAAUAUGGUACAAAGCCAUAACAGGAGGAGGUGGCACAGGCAGAUCACAUCCAUCUGGUGAUCUCUGUAUGAAACUGUGGCCCAGAGCUGAGUGCAGCUACCUUGUGGAGUGGGGAAGGGUUUUUGGGAGGUCUGUGUCACAUCUCUGCCAGGUGGCUGAGGCUUAGCUCCACAGUGUGUUAGCCCUGUGGGUCAAAUUGCCCUUUGCACCACGCCACAGGCUCCCUUAUAAUCAUACUGCACUGGGUGAUGUGAAACAUCUCCCCUUCACUGCACAUUCCAGAAUAAAAAUUUAACAUGAAGUACUGGUAUUCCCAGCACUUCUUGCCACAAAAAAAAAAAAAAAAAAAAAAAAAAAAAAAGGAGAGAGAGAAUAAUGGAACCCAAUAAUGGAAACAGGCUUAAAGAUUUCAAUAAAUCUUAUGUUCUGAAGGAAA